rnacentral:rRNA from 1 species
AUUGAACGCUGGCGGAAUGCUUUACACAUGCAAGUCGAACGGCAGCACGGGGCAACCUGGUGGCGAGUGGCGAACGGGUGAGUAAUACAUCGGAACGUGCCCAAUCGUGGGGGAUAACGUAGCGAAAGUUACGCUAAUACCGCAUACGAUCUACGGAUGAAAGCGGGGGAUCGCAAGACCUCGCGCGAAUGGAGCGGCCGAUGUCAGAUUAGGUAGUUGGUGGGGUAAAGGCUCACCAAGCCAACGAUCUGUAGCUGGUCUGAGAGGACGACCAGCCACACUGGAACUGAGACACGGUCCAGACUCCUACGGGAGGCAGCAGUGGGGAAUUUUGGACAAUGGGCGCAAGCCUGAUCCAGCCAUUCCGCGUGCAGGAUGAAGGUCUUCGGAUUGUAAAGUGCUUUCAGUAGGGAAGAAAAAAUAGACGGUACCUACAGAAGAAGCGACGGCUAAAUAUGUGCCAGCAGCCGCGGUAAU